ensembl:ncRNA K08E4.12 ncRNA
GGUAAGUGAAAAUGAGAAGAAUUGAAUGAGAGAGAUCUCUAGAGAUACUUGACAACGGCCUGUGAUCGUCUCGUUCGACACAAAACGAAGAGGCGGAGGCAUAGGGGACAGCUGUGAUUGGGACGGGAGAUGAGUCAUUGU